rnacentral:rRNA from 1 species
GGAAUUGGCGGGGGAGUGUAACGUACCUACUAGCCUACGACGGGUACGGGUUGUGAGAGCAAGAGCCCGGAGAUGGAUUCUGAGACAUGAAUCCAGGCCCUACGGGGUGCAGCAGGCGCGAAAACUUUACAAUGCGGGCAACCGCGAUAAGGGGACCUCGAGUGCUGGGUUACAAACCUGGCUGUUGGGCUGCCUAAAAAGCAGUCUAUAGCAAGGGCCGGGCAAGACCGGUGCCAGCCGCCGCGGUAACACCGGCGGCUCGAGUGGUAACCGCUAUUAUUGGGUCUAAAGGGUCUGUAGCCGGCCGACUAAGUCUCUUGGGAAAUCUGGCAUCUCAAGUGUCAGGCUGCCAGGGGAUACUGGUCGGCUUGGGACCGGGAGAGGUGAGAGGUACCUCGGGGGUAGGGGUGAAAUCUUGUAAUCCUCGAGGGACCACCAGUGGCGAAGGCGUCUCACCAGAACGGAUCCGACGGCAAGGGACGAAAGCUAGGGGCACGAACCGGAUUAGAUACCCGGGUAGUCCUAGCCGUAAACGAUACUCGCUAGGUGUCGGCCACGGUGCGACCGUGGUCGGUGCCGUAGGGAAGCCGUGAAGCGAGCCACCUGGGAAGUACGGCCGCAAGGCUGAAACUUAA